GGGGAUAUGGCGAAAUCGGUAGACGCUACGGACUUUAUUAUUAUGAAUAUGAAAAAAUGGAAGAAUUUUUACGAAUCAAUUUCAAGUUGAAAAAAGAAUCAAAUAUUCAUUCAUCAAAUCAUUCACUCCAUAGUCUGAUAGAUCUUUUGAAGAGCUGAUUAAUCGGACGAGAAUAAAGAUAGAGUCCCAUUCUACAUGUCAAUACUGACAACAAUGAAAUUUUUAGUAAGAGGAAAAUCCGUCGACUUUCAAAAUCGUGAGGGUUCAAGUCCCUCUAUCCCCA
rnacentral:tRNA from 1 species